rnacentral:rRNA from 1 species
UACGUAGGGUGCAAGCGUUUGUCCGGAAUUAUUGGGCGUAAAGAGCUCGUAGGCGGUCUGUCGCGUCUGCUGUGAAAACUCGGGGCUUAACCCCGGGCCUGCAGUGGGUACGGGCAGACUAGAGUGCGGUAGGGGAGACUGGAAUUCCUGGUGUAGCGGUGAAAUGCGCAGAUAUCAGGAGGAACACCGGUGGCGAAGGCGGGUCUCUGGGCCGUAACUGACGCUGAGGAGCGAAAGCGUGGAGAGCGAACAGG